AUACCAUGAUGAGGACAAUUUUUCAACAUCAUAUUGAACCGUUCAGAAGCCUCAUGAAACAUCUCCCCCGGUUGUUGUUGGAAGCUUCUUGUAACAUUCCUAUUUUU
rfam:Helianthus annuus linkage group 1, whole genome shotgun sequence.